UUAACAUGUGAAAUGUCCGUAAAGUAUCAUCACAUGAUUGGCUUUAGGGCACAUUUCCAACAGGACAUUGAUUAGUAGGGGGUCCUUGCAUAGAGUAUACACCACAUGCAGCUACACUUUGCACCUUGGAUCUUUCAACAACCUAUGAUAUAAGAGUACAAAGAUUAGCCAUUUGAGAUCGAAGUUCUAAAAUAGCACUUACCUCAUUAACUUGACUUUGCCGUGUAUACUCUCUUCCUCCAACUCCUUCGUAUUGUUAUGCAUUCAAGGCUCGAUUUGCUAUUAAGAUCUUCGCAGCAACAGGUGUUUUGUCAACCAAAGCACCUCAUGCUGAAGCAUCAAACAUUUGUUUCUCAAGUGGAAGUAGUCCUUCAUAGAAAUAUUGAAUUAAAAGCUCUUCCUUCAUUUGAUGUUGUGGACAAGAUGCAACUAAAGUUUUGAAACACUCAUAAUACGCUGGAAAUGAUUCUCCUGGGCCUUGUUGAAUUCCAAUAAUUUUCUCCCUCAAAAGAAUGACUCUUGAAGUUGGGAAGAAUUUCUCUAAGAAUGCUUUCUUCAUGCUUUCCCAAGAAGUGAUGGUUCUAGGUGCUAAUUCAAAGAGUCAAUCUUUAGCCUUUUUCCAAAAGAGAGAAUGGAAAAGCUUUCAUCUUCAAAAUAUUCCUAUCCACAUUAAUUGGUGUCAUGCUCGAGCACACCACUUCAAAUUCCUUAAGAUGCUUGUUCAGAUCUUCCAUGGACAGCCUAUGGUAUUUAGGAAUGUGAUGCAACAAACUAGACUUUAGUUCAAACUCAUCAGUUUUGCCUUGAACGGCUGCAGGGUAUUGAAUGCAAAAUGGAAUGACAUUGACCAAUCCUGAGGCUGAAUGCUCCUUGAUUGUUUGAUUGUCAACAGCCAUGACUUGUUCCUCUUCUAAUUCCGUUUCAAUUUCAGUUUCAGAUUCGGAUUCGAAAUUAGAACUAGGUGGAUUGAAUUCUAGCUGCCUCCUCUUCCUUCUCAAAGUCUAUUCAAAAUUGUUGUCAAAUUCUAAUAUAUUCUCACGAACAGGUUGAAAACUUCGAGUCAUAAACGAAUACCUAAAUCAAAACAAAACAAAACAAAAUCAGACACAAAAGGAAAAAAAAAAAAAACAAGAAUAGAAACAAAGGGGAAGAUUAGCAAUUUUGCUAAUCCCCAGCAAUGACGCCAAAAUUUGAUGUGGUAUAAACUAACACACAAAUUAAACCCUAUAAUUUAGAUGAUUGUAGUAUGAGCAAGUAGAGAUCAUUCUAGGCGGGGGAUUAUGAGGGAUGCUAAUCAACACAAAUUAAACUUAAAAACUAAAAACUAAGCUAGACUAACACAAAAUAAGAA
rnacentral:lncRNA from 1 species